rnacentral:rRNA from 1 species
AACGAACGCUGGCGGCAUGCCUAACACAUGCAAGUCGAACGAGACCUUCGGGUUUAGUUGCGCACGUGUGCGUACCGCCUGGGAACUUACCCUUAGGUUCGGUAUCACUCCCCGUAGGGGGUGCUAAUACCGCUUAAUCUCAUCGCACCAAAGAUUUAUCGCCUUUGGAUGGGCGCGCGUUGGAUUAGGCAGUUGGUAGUGUAAAAGCCUGCCAAGGCGACGAUGCAUAGCUGGUGUGAUAGCAUGCUCAGCCCCGCUGGGCCUGAGGCACGGCCCAGACUGCGACGGGAGGCAGCAGUGGGGAAUAUUGGACGAGGGGCGAUAGCCUGAUCCAGCAAUGCGGGGGAAGAGAUGAAGGCGUUAGGGUUGUAAAGCUGCUUUACACGGGAUGAUAAUGACAGUACCGGGAGAAUAAGCUCCGGCUAACUCCGUG